rnacentral:rRNA from 1 species
GACAGAGGGUGCAAACGUUGUUCGGAAUUACUGGGCGUAAAGCGCGUGUAGGCUGCUUCGAAAGUCGGAUGUGAAAGCCCUGGGCUCAACCUAGGAAGUGCAUUCGAAACUUCGAAGCUCGAGUCCUGGAGAGGAUCGCGGAAUUCUCGGUGUAGAGGUGAAAUUCGUAGAUAUCGAGAGGAACACCGGUGGCGAGGCGGCGAUCUGGACAGUGACUGACGCUGAGACGCGAAAGCGUGGGGAGCAAACAGG